rnacentral:tRNA from 1 species
AGGCGCGUCGUAUAAUGGCAGUACAGGGGUCUCCAAAGCCCUUAGUGUGGGUUCGAUUCCUACCGCGCCUGCCA